GACGAACGCUGGCGGCGUGCUUAACACAUGCAAGUCGAACGGAAAGGCCCUGCUUUUGUGGGGUGCUCGAUUGGCGAACGGGUGAGUAACACGUGAGUAUCCUGCCCUUGACUUUGGGAUAACUUCAGGAAACUGGGGCUAAUACCGGAUAGGAGCUCCUGCUGCAUGGUGUGGGUUGGAAAGUUUCGGCGGUUGUGGAUGGACUCGCGGCUUAUCAGCUUGUUGGUGGGGUAGUGGCUUACCAAGGCUUUGACGGGUAGCCGGCCUGAGAGGGUGACCGGCCACAUUGGGACUGAGAUACGGCCCAGACUCCUACGGGAGGCAGCAGUGGGGAAUAUUGCACAAUGGGCGGAAGCCUGAUGCAGCAACGCCGCGUGCGGGAUGACGGCCUUCGGGUUGUAAACCGCUUUCGCCUGUGACGAAGCGUGAGUGACGGUAAUGGGUAAAGAAGCACCGGCUAACUACGUG
rnacentral:rRNA from 1 species